UGAUAUAUACAGUGUUUAUAUACAUUUGAUAUAUACAAUGUUUAUAUAAUUGAUAUAUACAAUGUAAAUGACAGACUAUGAGAAAAAAAGUGCAUUAUGUAUUAUAAUGUGUUACCUGGAAAUUAACUUAUUAAUGUAUACUGAUCAAUAACUUCUGCAGUUAACGACAGGAAACUGAAAUAGUGAAUUCAUCUUUUGAAAUUUUUAAUUGAAUUUAUAUAGAUCCUCACACUUAAAGCAGAGUGUCCAAUCUCUCACUGUGGAGAAAAAUGUCUAACUUGCUUCUCUUUUUAACUUUGGUAGAAAUAUUAUGGCAGGGCUUUGUCUAUCCGUCAGACAUAAACUUGCUGUCCCGAGAUCUACUUUACAUUUUUCAACCAUACUGUUUGAAACAUGAUAUGCAUUAUAAUCAUGAUGUGUAGUUGUGGUUCUAUGAAAGCAAUUUUAAUUUGACUGUUUUUACAAUAGGUAUUGUCCUUUGUUUGUUUUUAGUAAUUGAAUCUUGUCUGGAGAUCUAAUUUGUCUUUUGAUUUCUUUGAAGCUUGGUAGACUUCAUAAUCAUGAUAUCAAGUCGAAUUUAAUGAAAAAAAAAAAAAAAAAAACAAGUUGGGAGACUAACUCAUGAUUACUUGUAUUCCUCAAAUUAGAAAAUUAAAAAUUGACUUUUUGUGAAAAGUGAGGGUUAUAUAGAUAGCCACUUAAUUAUAACCACUCGAGCAGUCAAGAUGAUGCAAAUUGUAUUUCAAUGCAAGAGAGUAAUACUACGUAUAUUAACAGCUACUAUUAUAAGUUCAUAAAUCAAGGCCUGUAACCUAUAAUUAUCUUUAUAUGAAUACCUGGUAUAGAGGAAAUAACAAUUAAACAGUCCUAAAAAGAACUUGCAAAGCUUAAGAUUUGUACUUUCAUAAAAUGAUUUCUAGCAAAAAUUUAUGCCUAUCUUGAUUAAUAUGACAUAUAUAAGCUAGAUCUAUCAGAACAUAUGACUGCAGGUAGCUAAAGACUGUAAUUGACUACAUUGUAUAGCUAUAGGGUGAUGAGACGUCAGUCUUAAACUAAUCAUGUGCAAUACUAAUUGUGCCCAUCCCAUAUACUCAUUUUGAAAAGUUAUUCUAAAAGUGUUGAUAAAAAGGAGUAAGCUUAUACUCAUGAUCAUCUCCAGGGACAUAUACGAUACAUUCCAAACAAAUUGGUGGAAUUUCUAGUUUCCCAUAACAGUACCAAUGAACAAGAUCUCACGACUUUUUCCAUAUGGUAUACAGUAAAUGUCAUUAUUGUUAAAUAGUCUAUCAUGUCACCACAUGUACACAGGAACUUGACACAAAUUCCCAACACAGAGUCUAGACAAAUGUACUAUAUUAUAUAUGUUGACCAUGGGUCGGGAAUUCGUACCAAGUUCCCUGUACCUACUACCACACAGAAAGAUCUUGAUCUAUGAUGUCAUUUUCUAUCAAUCACUAAUCUGGUGUAUGUUUUCUUUUAACUCCUUGACAGCAUUAAAUGAUCACUAUAUGUCAGCAAAGUCUAGUCCUUUCAUCCCGUUAUUGUGAUAUAUGUUGUAGUGGUUGUCCACUGAUGUAGAAUACUCAUCGUAUAGUGUUGUCAGACUGUACUUGUUGUCCUUUUAAACUUGUAUUUAAGGUAAAUGAUUCAUAAUCCCAAAGACUAGUUCCUCCCUGGAGUAAUUCUUUAACAGGAGUAGUUUGCCUUAUUUAUGCCCUCGACCAUAAAGUGUUUUGUUGUAAUUUGUCGCCUCUAUCAGUAUUUUCAUUUAUCCUGAAUUUGUUUGAAAAGGUUUUUUUUCAAAAAUUACUAUUGUGCCGUAACAUUUUCAUUUUUUUUUUUUUUAAUUUUGAACAGGUACUUUGGCUAAAUUUUGAGUUGAACUCCAUUUCAAGUGGCGGCAUACCGGUACAUACAUUUUCAUAAGGGGGUGGGGGAGUGAAUGUAUUAACCACUGGGGUACCGUGGAAUUACGCUUCCAAUUACAAGUUUACCUGUUGUUGUCAUUGUUAUCACAUGCAUCUGAAUAUUGAUAUAAUUGAACUUAAUGAGUGUCUGAAGAGUGGUUUGGAAGCCGUUCUACUGUUCCAAGAAACAAUGUGUUCAUAUGUCUGUAUUUAAUAUAAAACAAGACGUCUGUUGGUUGAUACUGAAUGUACAGGUUACAUAUCAGAGUAAGUCCUUGUAUGUAAGGUGUUGUAUUAUGUUCAAACUUUUAAAUUGUAUAAGGAUUUGUAAAUGCAAUAUAAUAAAUGGAAUUUUCACCUUGUAA